rnacentral:lncRNA from 1 species
GUUGCUCUCUAUGUAUCAUUCAUAUCUAUCACUGGACUCUUCUCUUCCUCAUUCUCUGGCUCUCAGCGCUCAGCAAGAAAGUGUCUUUAUCUUUUGAGUGAAGCUCCUCGACCACGUCUCCAUCUGAGGUUACAGCUUCCAAGAAGUUAGAUGGGACAAGCCCUCUCUGUUGGUUCAGCUCUCCAUAGUAGAAUCCAUCAUCAUCCAUGGACCCAAACACUGUGAU